rnacentral:rRNA from 1 species
AUUGAACGCUGGCGGCAGGCCUAACACAUGCAAGUCGAACGAGUGGCGGACGGGUGCGUAAUGUCUGGGAAAUUGCCCGAUGGAUGGGGAUAACUACUGGAAAAGGUAGCUAAUACCGCCUACCAUCGGAUGUGCCCAGAUGGGCUUAGCUAGUAGGUGGGGUAAAGGCUCACCUAGGCGACGAUCCCUAGCUGGUAUGAGAGGAUGAACAGGCACACUGGAACUUAGACACUGUCCAGACUCCUACGGGAGGAAGCAGUGGGGAAUAUUGGACAAUGGGCGAAAGCCUGAUGCAGCCAUGCCGCGUGUAUGAAGAAGGCCUUCGGGUUGUAAAGUACUUUCAGCGGGGAGGCGUUACCCACAGAAGAAGCACCGGCUAACUCCGUGCCAGCAGCCGCGGUAAUAC